CUUAACACAUGCAAGUCGAGGGGCAGCCUUGUCUUAGCUUGCUAAGGCCGAUGGCGACCGGCGCACGGGUGAGUAACACGUAUCCAACCUGCCGUCUACUCUUGGACAGCCUUCUGAAAGGAAGAUUAAUACAAGAUGGCAUCAUGAGUCCGCAUGUUCACAUGAUUAAAGGUAUUCCGGUAGACGAUGGGGAUGCGUUCCAUUAGAUAGUAGGCGGGGUAACGGCCCACCUAGUCUUCGAUGGAUAGGGGUUCUGAGAGGAAGGUCCCCCACAUUGGAACUGAGACACGGUCCAAACUCCUACGGGAGGCAGCAGUGAGGAAUAUUGGUCAAUGGGCGAGAGCCUGAACCAGCCAAGUAGCGUGAAGGAUGACUGCCCUAUGGGUUGUAAACUUCUUUUAUAAAGGAAUAAAGUCGGGUAUGGAUACCCGUUUGCAUGUACUUUAUGAAUAAGGAUCGGCUAACUCCGUGCCAGCAGCCGCGGUAAUACGGAGGAUCCGAGCGUUAUCCGGAUUUAUUGGGUUUAAAGGGAGCGUAGAUGGAUGUUUAAGUCAGUUGUGAAAGUUUGCGGCUCAACCGUAAAAUUGCAGUUGAUACUGGAUAUCUUGAGUGCAGUUGAGGCAGGCGGAAUUCGUGGUGUAGCGGUGAAAUGCUUAGAUAUCACGAAGAACUCCGAUUGCGAAGGCAGCCUGCUAAGCUGCAACUGACAUUGAGGCUCGAAAGUGUGGGUAUCAAACAGGAUUAGAUACCCUGGUAGUCCACACGGUAAACGAUGAAUACUCGCUGUUUGCGAUAUACUGCAAGCGGCCAAGCGAAAGCGUUAAGUAUUCCACCUGGGGAGUACGCCGGCAACGGUGAAACUCAAAGGAAUUGACGGGGGCCCGCACAAGCGGAGGAACAUGUGGUUUAAUUCGAUGAUACGCGAGGAACCUUACCCGGGCUUAAAUUGCAGAUGAAUUACGGUGAAAGCCGUAAGCCGCAAGGCAUCUGUGAAGGUGCUGCAUGGUUGUCGUCAGCUCGUGCCGUGAGGUGUCGGCUUAAGUGCCAUAACGAGCGCAACCCUUGUUGUCAGUUACUAACAGGUUCCGCUGAGGACUCUGACAAGACUGCCAUCGUAAGAUGUGAGGAAGGUGGGGAUGACGUCAAAUCAGCACGGCCCUUACGUCCGGGGCUACACACGUGUUACAAUGGGGGGUACAGAGGGCCGCUACCACGCGAGUGGAUGCCAAUCCCCAAAACCUCUCUCAGUUCGGACUGGAGUCUGCAACCCGACUCCACGAAGCUGGAUUCGCUAGUAAUCGCGCAUCAGCCACGGCGCGGUGAAUACGUUCCCGGGCCUUGUACACACCGCCCGUCAAGCCAUGGGAGCCGGGGGUACCUGAAGUGCGUAACCGCGAGGAGCGCCCUAGGGUAAAACUGGUGAUUGGGGCUAAGUCAUAAC
rnacentral:rRNA from 1 species